UACGGAGGGUGCAAACGUUGUUCGGAAUCAUUGGGCGUAAAGGGCGCGUAGGCGGUGAAGUGUGUCCGAUGUGAAAGCCCGGGGCUUAACCCCGGAAGUGCGUCGGAAACUGCAUCACUUGAGUCUCGGAGAGGAUAACGGAAUUCCUGGUGUAGAGGUGAAAUUCGUAGAUAUCAGGAGGAACACCGGUGGCGAAGGCGGUUAUCUGGACGAAGACUGACGCUGAGGCGCGAAAGCGUGGGGAGCAAAC
rnacentral:rRNA from 1 species